AGAUGGGUUCAGAAGGCAGUCCUGCAUUCACUAAAAAUAGGCCUAUGAGAUGGGCCUGGGUCAGAAAAGAGCAAAAAAAUCUCUGACAAAUGGACCUGGCUUGAGAAACUUAAAAAUUGGGCCAGUUCGACAGUAUUUGGAGUGCCCAAUUAGUGAUAUCUUUGAUUCUUUUCAGAUGCAGCCAAGUUAUAACUUCUCGGAAGAAUUCUAUUUUUUUCUUUUAAUGAUUUAGUUUUUUUGUGGG
rnacentral:lncRNA from 1 species